UAAGGAUCGGGGUAAGGUCUAUCUACCAAUGCUAGCUUUUAAUUAUAGAAUAAGGCUGUGAUGAUGACAUAUGAGGUUGUAUAGAUCUUCCACUUUUCUUAUUUGUAUUACUGUCUGCUCUGUUUAUAAACUAUGAGGAUGUGGAAGUUUUGCCUUUUGUGGAAGUUCAAUAAAACUUGUUUUCUCUCGAGCUGAUUGAACUGUUGCUUGGCACUGCAUCUCAGAUAGAACUACGAGAUUUUAGAAUUAAAUUUCUAUUUCAUGGUGUUUCUUCACCAUCUCAUUCGGCUAACUAAUGCUUGAAGCCUCUACGGAUUUCAAUGCUUUUGAGCUUAUUGUAUUUUUGCUUCAUGAAGUUUUUUUUUUCAUUAAACCACCCUUUUGGUGAAACUACACAUCACCUUCCAUUUUUAUGUUUUAGUUCCCUCUCCGGGGUAACUAAAACUGCAAUCAAACAUUUUCUCGCUUGAGCUGAAAAACUAUUACUUGGCAUGGCAUCUCAUGUGGGUAUGUGAGAUUUUGGAGAAAGUUCCGUUUCAUGGUAUUUUUUCUCUGUCCCACAAGGGCAACUAAUGCUUGAAGCCAUUCCAGGUUUAUAAGCUUCAAGGGUAACUUAUGCGGCCAAUACUUGGGUCGGGCAUUGGAGCUACCCUUAUCUUUGCGAGGCCACCCUGUAAGGCAUCUCCAUUUUGCAACUGAGGUCUGCAGCCAUGCCGGUUGCUUUGUCUUCUUUUGGCUAGUUUUAUAACGAAUUUGAGCCUUAGGAGAAAGAAUUGGCCUAAUGACGCUUGACGUCUUGUGAAUUCCCUUGUGUUAGGUCAGCCUAUAAAGGCAAAAAUGAGGCAGCAGAGACUAUGGUAUUUCUUAUCAAGGUCCUAUCUUGAAAAAUCAGGACAAGAAUCUAUCUUGAUUCUGAGCAAGAAUUGGUAUAUUCAUUUUGAUAGUAGUUCAUGCCUGAAAUAGCAAUUGCUACUCAACUAUGCUGAUCAAAUUCUAAAUUGGGGUUGGGGGAUCUGCAAUAAUCAUUCUCAAGCUGCAAGAUCAUUUACCAGGUUCUGUGAAUUUUGUGUGUUAAUCUAACUGCUGUGGAUCUGUUAGAAUUUAUUCAACAGUUCUCUGAAGAAUGUAUUUGCAACCCACAUCUUGCUGAUACAGAUGGAUCAUCAAUAGUGCCCCUAUUAGUGAAUAAACAAGACUUGCGGUUGUGAUUGGGAGCAUUAAGCGAAUGCCUCCGGCUAUUUGGAGCUUAACACAGUUUCCACCAGGCAUGUGUUGCUAUAGGCAUUGGGACCUGCUAUGUUAAGGUGGAUGGCAAUGGAUCAUCUCAAGUUGCACUUUCUUUUGAAGAAUUAUCUGAUUCUGAAGUUGUACUUUCUUUCGAAGGAUCAUCUCAAGUUGCACUUUCUUUUGAAGAAUCAUCUGAUGUUUAUUUCUUUUGAUGGAUCAUCUGAAGCUGCACUUUCUUUUGAAGGAUCACCUGAAGUUGUACUUUCUUGUUGGGCAACUUCUCGAGUCCCCACAAAGGACAGGGUAAGGAUCCACCAAUGUUUAGCUUUUAGUUAUAGGAUAAGGCUGUGAUGAUGACAAAUGAAGUUGUAUAUGGUUGGGUCUAGCAUUGGAGCUCCCCUUAUCUUGGGGAGGCAACCCGUUAAGGCAUCUCCGUUUUGCAGCUGAGGUCUGCAGCCAUUGCACUUGUUUUGUCUCCUUUUGCCUGGUUAAAUCUGAGCCUUAGGAGAAAGAAUUAACUGAAAGACACUUGAAGUCUUGUGAAUAUCCUUCUGUUAGGUUAGCCUAAAAAGGCAAGAAUGAGGCAGCAGAGAGCAUGGUAUUUCUAUCAAGGGUGGUUUCCUUCUCUUUAAACUUUUCCUAUGAGUACAUUUUUUAAAACAAAUCAACAGCUCUUAAAAAUGAAAGAGAAACAGAGAAUACACUUGAGUUUCUUUGCAUUUUUGCAUUCUUAGACGUAUGCUCAUAAGGCAAUACACACAACUAUACUACAACAGCUUGACUCUGAAAAUUAUUAAAGAGGCAGUGAUGAUUUUUGGGCUAACUAAAUUCGGGCAUUGAGAUUACUCAACCUUUAUCAUUGCGGGGAAACCUGGUAUGGACUGUAAUUGAGACGCAUAAAUCACACAUGCAAUCAUGUAUUGCUGCCAUGGCGUGGUAUGCUUCUCUUUGGCCUUACAUAACACAAAUCUGAGCCUCAAUUUGCUAAAGAGAAGGGAAAAGGGUCAAAUUUACCUCUUUUUAUGCACAAGGGGAAAUAUCAAUUCCAUGAUUAAUGUUGGAGAUAUUGAACCCAGGCACGUCCUUCUGAUUAGCAAUUUUGAUGCUUUUCAUUCGUAAUGUGUCGUCAUCUUUUGAUAAGUACCAGCUCAAGAAUGAGGCAUUCGAACGAAAUGUUGGAUUAUUGAGGGGUGGUUGCCUCCCUCCUCUUGUAAACCCUAAUUCUAUUUUUGAAGUUUUGCAUUUCUAUGCAUCUUUUAUAGCUUCAACGUUUAGAUUCCUCCCACUGAUGGAUAUAUGUCUGCUAAAUGUGGAAAAAACACAUGACAAUCACUUCUUCUCAGGCUGGUUAUUCCAUUUUUAGGUAUCAAUAGCAUUGUUUAUAUCAGUUCUGUGUUCCAUCUUGUUGAAACCAAGAAGGAUUUUUGAGGGUUUAACCCUUUGAAGUGUCAUUGUUGUGUAUUGUCUCUUAAGGUCCAUUUUAUGUUUUAUUUGGGUUGAUUAUAGCCAGUGAAUUAUGAAUUGUAACUUUAAGGGAAGAUCUUUUUUGUUCAAACAUUCAAAUGAGAGGCUCUAAUACUAUUUUUGACGUUUCUUUGUUGGAAAUUGUUACUAAUACUCAUUGGAGGCCAAACGGACAUUGUAAGAUUUUGAAGGUUAAAUUUCUUUGGGUUUUAGUUGGUAGUAUUCAUUAAGAUAGCUUUCAAACAAAUACCCUAGUCUUUGUUCUUGCCAUUGUUUACAGGAUCACAAGUGUUUGUACCUUGGAAUUUGAUGAUUGUACACAAUAUAUUGGCAUAGGAUACCUGAUACGUGCUGGUUUCGUCUUCUGAGGUAUCCGGUGCUAUUGAGCUCAUCAUGAUUUGGCUUUGCACAGCUCAAUUUUUUUCACUCACCAAACCACCCUUUUGGUGAAAUUAGACGACCUUCCAUUUUCCAUAUUUUUAGUACUCUUUCCGGUAUAACUCAAAAGGGCAAUCAAACAUGUUCUCUCUUGAGCUGAAUAGUUGUUGCUUUGCAUGGCAUCUCUUGUGGGUAUGUGAUUGAAGAGGUACUUAUUGGUGUUCUUUCUAUCUCUAAAAGCUAACUAAUGCUUGCAGCCAUGACAUGUUUCUAAGCUUUUGAGCUGAUUCAUGUUUUGAGUUGAGUUUCUUUCCCAUCUCUCACCGGACCACCCUUUUCGUGAUAUUACACAUGCACUUCCUCUUUUCUUGUUAUUAUUACUCACUCUACUUUGUUUAAUACAAUGAGGAUUUGGAGGUUUUCAUCUAUUGAUGUUCAAUCAAACAUAUCUCAUGUCGAACUAAGAAACUGUUGCUUGGCACGGCACUUCAGGCAGGUCUAUGAGAUUUUGGGAAAUGUUCCUUUUUUUGGAUUGCAUGCAUUACUCAACUUAUAGGCUGUUUGACGGUUUUGUUCAUUAAUAUCUUACUAAUAUAUUUUUUUUAUAGAUGUUCUUUAUUUAUUAUUUUGUGGUUUUACUUGUAAUUGGGAGAACUGGUAUGACUGUACACAACACAAAACAUUAACGCUUACAUUUUAUUUUAGUUUUAUUGCAAGAUGUUUAUGUAUAUCACGUUCCUGGUACUUCAUUUCCUAUAAAAUACUUCAUUUACCUGUACCGUGUCUAAAAAAAAAAUAGGGAAGGGCCGGAGGGGUGGACACACACUCAGAUACAUACAAAGAGAGAUGAAAUAUAGUUUUUGUUGCUCACUAAUGUAUGUAGAAUGAAGUAUGGUUGGGACAUACAUUUUGGUGCGUAGGUACUUCUAGCCCAGCUUAUGGAGAGAAUAUGUGCCUGUUUCUUUCAUCUUCUGUUACGUUUCCUUUUUUGUCUGGCCAUUUUAUCUUAUGGUUUUGAAUGCUUGCUUUACACCCGUGACGUUGAAAAUACACCAUUCAGAUGAUAUGCAUGCUCUCCCAGCAAGCUUUGAUUGAAAAGGAGAGGCUCUAAGCUCUUAGAUUUCUAACGUUUCUUUAUUGGAAACUGGUAGUUAAACUCACGGGAGGCCAAAUGGGUAUUGUAAGGUUUUAAAGGUACAAUUCUUUUGAGUUCUAGUUUCAGUAUCCAUUAGGAUAUGUAUGAAACUACUAACUUGGCCUUUGUUCUUGCCAUUCUUUACAAGAUGACAGCAAGUGUUUAUACCGUGAUUAUUGUAGACAAAAUAAUUGUACAACAGGUAAUCUGCAUAUAAGACUACCUGAUACAUGAGUUGACGUUGUUUACUGAUAAAGGAAAUUUCUAGGGAUUUCUCUUUGCAGUCAUUGUUCGUGAUGCUAUUACAACCAACCAGUUCGAAGGAAGCAAAUGUACUCGAAGUACUUCUAGUUUCUGCCAAACAAAUAUAAAAUAUUAUAUUACACACAGUACUUUCUAAAGCUGUACUAUUUCUUGAUUGAUCUUUUUGUUUGCAUAUAUAAUCUGAAAGGCCAAAGAGUGUGUUGCAUUCUAUGAAAGAGUCUCUGCUAAGAAUCACCUCUGUGCUUUCCAAUGUCUCCUUCAAAAUUUCCAUUUUUGUUAUUUUUAGUACUCUUUCCGGCAUAACUCAAAGUGGCGAUCAAACAUGUUCUCUAUUGAGCUGACAAACUUGUGCUUGUUAUGACAUCUCAUGUCGGUCUGUGAUACUUUGGAGAAAGUUUCAUUUUAUGGUGUUUAUUCUCAGUAUUAGAAGGUUGUGGCUAAAUGAUGCUUACAGCCAUGAAAGCUUCUAUGCUUUUGAGCUGAUUCAUGUUUUGACCUGACAAUGUUCAGUUCCUUUCCCACCCCUCAUUAAAUCACCCUUUUCGUGAUAUUGCACAUGCACUCCCUGUUUUGUUGUUCUUAGUACUCACUCUGCUCCGUUUUAUAUACAUUGAAGAUUUAGAGGUUUUCAUCUGUCGAUGUUCAAUCAAACAUAUUGCCUGUCCGGAUAAAGAAUUGUUGCUUGGCGCGACACUUCAAGUGGGUCUAUGAGAUAUUUUGAGAAGUUCCAUUUUUUGGUCUUUCUUCUCUGUCUCAUAGGCAAACUGAUGCUUGCAGCCAUGCUGGGUUUCAAAAAUUUUGAGCUAAUCAUGUUUGGGCAUCGCAAAUUCAAUUCAUUUGUCGGUAAAUCACCCUUUUUGUGGAACUACACAACCUUCUACUUUUUUUGUUCUUAUAUUUCUCUCUUGUAUAACUGAAGAAAAAUCAAUUUAGCAUGUUCUCUCUUGAGCUGAAAACUGUUGAUUGGCAUGGCAGCUCAGGUGGCUAUAUUAGAUUUAGGAGAAAGUUUCAUUUCAUGGUGCAUCUUCUCCGUUUCUUAAGGCUUACUGAGCCAUGACAGACCGAUGCUCGCAGCCAUUCUAGGUGUCAAAGCUUUUGAGCUAAUCAUGUUUGGGUGUCACAAAGUUCAAUAUUUUUGUCGCUAAAUCAUCCUUUUUUUGAAACUACACAACCAUCUACUUUCUUGUUCUUAUUACUCUAUUGUAUUACUCAAACAAGGCAAUUUAAUAUCUCUCUUGAGCUGAAAUACUGUUGCAUGGCAUCACACCUCAUGUGGGUCAUGAGAUUUUGGGAGAAAGUUCCAUUUCAUGAUGCAUCUUCUUUGUAUCAUAAGGCUAUAACUGAUGCUUGUAGCCAUGACAGAUUUUAAAGCAUUUGAGUUGGUUUGUGUUUUGGCUUAGCAAAAUUCAGUUUCCUCCCCCGCUCCCCCAAACCACACUUUUCGUGAAAUCACACAUGACCUUCCUCUUUUUUUUUUAAAAAAAAAUUAUUCUCUCUGCUCCGUUUAUAAACCAUGAGGAUGUGGAGGUUGUCUUCCGUGGAAUUUCAAUAAUUCUUGUUUUCUCUCGAGCCCAUUAAAUGAUGCUUGACACCACUCCUCAGGUGGGUCUAUGAGAUUUUUGAAUUAAAUUUCCAUUUUAUGGUGUUUCUUCACCAUCUCAGACGGCGAGUUGAUGCUUGUUGGCACGACAGAUUUCAAUGCUUAUAAGCUAAUUGUGUUUGGGUUCGCGAAGUUAAUUUUUUUCUCUUACCAAAUCACCCUUUUGGUGAAAUGGCUCACGUCCUUCCAUUUUUCCAAUUUUUAGUACUCUUUCCGGUAUAACUCAAAAGGGCAAUCAUUUGAGCUGAAAAACUAUUGCUUGGCAUGGCAUCACAUCGGGAUUUGUGAGACUUUUGAAGAAGUAUUAUUUCUUGGUGUUUUUUCUGUCUCUCAAGGUUAACUAAUGCUUGCAGCCAUGACAUGUUUCAAUACUUUUGAGUUAAGUUUAUUUCCCAUCCCUCACCGAAAAACCCUUCUUAUUGCACAUGCACUUCCUCUUUUCUUGUUCUUAGUACUCAGUCUGCUCCAUUAUGUACACAAUGAGGAUUUGGAGGUGUUCAUCCAUAAAUGUUCAAUCAAACAUGUCUCGUGACGAAGUAAAGAACUGUUGCUUGGCACAACACUUCGGGCAGGUGUAUGAGAUUUUGGGAAAUGUUCCAUUUUUUGGUCUUUCUUCUCGGUCUCAUAGGCAAACUGGUGCUUGCAGCCAAGCUGGGUUUCGAAGUAUUUGAGCUAAUCAUGUUUGGGCGUCGCAAAGUUCAAUUUAUUUUGUCGGUAAAUCACCCUUUUUGAGAAAUUACACGACCUUCUAUUUUUCUUGUUCUUAUAUUACUAUCUCUUGUGUAACUCAAACAAGUAAUUUAGCAUGUUCUCUUUUGAGCUGUAAAUCAGUUAAUUGGUGGCAGCUCAGGUGGGUAGAUCAGAUUUAGGAUAAGGUUCCAUUUCAUGGUGCAUUUCUCUGUCUCGUGAGGCUGUCUGAUAUUUAGGAGAAAGAGAGCUGCAGCAGCACAUUUUAGAACUCACCACCUCAAAUACACUGAUCGCCUGUUUUCCUCCCAGAGCCUUCACAGGAUCAGCUCUUAAGAUGCCCAAUUCUAGCCAUCUUUUUAAGAAAAAGAUUUAGAACUUGGUAUCAAGAAAGAAACCUAAACACAUUUUCCCCUGUUCUUAUCUGCUGGAAAAUUCUUGCAAGCCUUUUUUAGAAAAAAUCAAGAAUUUUUCAGGAACUUGGUAUCAAGAACUUUGCUUUUUGAAGUUACAUUGGUAUUCAAAAAUACAUAUUUUCAGGUAAUCAAGAAUUUUUGCAUGAAUGUUCUUUAAAAAAUUCUUGAAUUUGUUGGCAUAUUUUAAGGAUAUUGUAGUUUUCAAGAAUAUAUUGGCAUUGCACAUACAAGAAAUCCUUUUUGAAAAUAUUAUGUUGUUAUUCUUGCAAUGUGUGUUAGGGAUGUUCAAGAUUUUUUUUUUACCUUUUUAGUGAGAUUGGUAGCAUUAAGUGAAUACCUCAGGCUAUUUGGAGCUUCACCCAGUUUCCAUCAGGUAUAUGUUGCUAUAGGCAUUGGUACCUGCUAUGGUAUGGUGGAUUAGGCAAUGGCAACUGUUAGUUUUUUCGACAUUGAUCUAAUGCACUUUGAUGUGCAGUAAGUUCUGUUCAAUUUAUUAUAUAAUAUCAUCUGCUGUAUUUUCUUCAUGGUCUCCUUCUUUGUACCUGAAUUUGUUGUACUUGUGUCGAGGGUCUUCCGAAAACAACCUCUUUUGCUACACGAGGAAGUUGUAAGGUCUGCGUAGAUACUCCCUCCUAGACGCCUACUUGUGGAAUUUUACGGGAACAAAAGUGAGCCCUAAUAUGGUGGAGACAAGUAUUAGAGAAGGACGGGUCCUCAAUCCUGCCAUAAGGAAUAUGAAUGUUGAAGAGAAUAAGCUUAUGGUGGCUAGUUGAUUCUUAAUGUUACUUGUAAGAUUGGGGCCCCAUCCUUGUCUUUAUUGAGAUAUACCUGUGAAUUAUGAGAUCAGGAAAAAGAGGUGCAGGCCCAGAGUUGCAAAGCGAAAGUGAACUUCCUUUCCCGCAGCCAAAGAAACUGGCUGGAUAGUGCACUGUCAGGAGAGAGAUUUGAUCUUCACAGAAUAUUAUGUGGGGAAGUGCUUCUGAAAAGCAUGAUCCCAAGUCCAAAUUCCCCUUGUCAGAUCAAAAGUUCAAGUCGGUCAAUCGAUAGCUCUCUUGCUCAUUGCAGAGUCUGUAUCCAGAAGCUCUGUGCAACCCCUUUCAUCUAUACAGAGGAUGAUUUCCUGGAUAAAGAAAAUUCAUUGCUGCAGAUAGAUCCAAACAGUUAUAGCUUACAGAUCAAGCUUCAUUUAUGCGAUCAAGGAGAGGUUGCUGCAUUAGAGAAGGAAACCAUUUAUGCGAAUCCCUAUGCACAGAAGUCUGACCCCUGAUGGAUCAUCCUUUGAUGGUGAUGAAGAUACUAAGUUUGAAAAAUGUCUCCUGGAUUGUUAGAAACUUCUCCAACUCAGAUCAAGGUAUUGCACGGGGACUGGGAGGCAUAAUAAUCGUGACACAUGCAAGUUGACCUGAACAUCACCCUCGGAAUUUUUAUUUUUUAUUUUUUUGCAGAGAGAGAGACAAGGCAGGUUUGGUUGAUUUGCAUCAUAUUUUAGAUUCCUGCUGCUCUGUUUUGGUAGGAUCAACUUGUUCAGGUUUUUCUACUCUUUUUGCCUUUUGGUGAUGUAGUUUCUACUUUCACGUUUUCCUGAUUUAAUUGGCUUUUGAUGAACUCUAACUGAGCUUAGGAGGUUGAUGACCAACUUACAAAAAAUUUAUAAUGUAUUCUCAUAGUAUUUGUUGAUGAAGUCCUAAUUAAAUUCGUCCAACGAAUGGGAAUUACACCCCGAUUAUUAAAUGUUGUUUUGAUCUAUUCAAUUCGAUGGGGGAACUUUAGGAGUUCUUCAUUUUGCUUUUAAGUGCUAUAUUGUGGACUCUUUGUUGACAUUAAGAAGGGAAGAGCAUAAACUCAAUAUGUUUUGUUAAACGGUAGCCUCUUCCAAUAUUUGCCUUUUCUCUUUUUCUUUGAUCCUUUUUUCGAUGUUGACAGUAGUAAAAUCAUCCUUCUCCCUCAAGAAUUGGAGCUUGAGGUGCUACUACCACAUUCCAACACUUACAUUAUCAAACUUUUUCAGAAUCUUUGCAUUCAUAAUCUAGAUCAGAAGUACUCGAGUCUUGAACUUGUUGCUUAUAAUUCAAAUAUCUGAUUUCAAUAGUAGGUUUAAUACAUGGAUAUAGAAGCCAACCAACUGAAGAAAAUUAAACGUGUGUGGCUGUGUUUGUUUGUAAAAUAUCACCUACAGUAGUAUCUGAUGGAUGUUUUGGACACUACUUUGGUUAUGGUAUGGAGUACCUGAGGGGCUUUGCAGCUUUGUGGGGUUCUUUGAGUGAUUCAGGGAUACACAAUUUCACUCCUAUUCAUCUGUUCAUUCCAAUUGCCUAAAACUCUUGUAAAUAUACUUACAAAUUCAAAUUCUGUAGUUCCUUGACUUCAAAUAUGUUCUCUUUGAAGCAUUAUUCGAGAUCAAUAAUCUCAUUUGUUGAGUUUAUCUGUAUUUCUUCUUCAGAUUGUAAGUGUACCUGAAGAGCACGGAAACAUCCACGUGGCAAUACUAUUUACGUAUACUGAAUCUAUUUAGUGCCUAUUUUAAUCUGCAUUAUCUUUUUACAAAUUGCUGGCUAACAAUUUUGUGGGAAAAAUACUUUAACACUUGCUAUUUUGAUGGUAAUAUAGUUUAGUGCUUUUUAGAAUCAAUUGGAUUUAGUUGGGAGUGGAAAACAAAUCUCUACGAGGAAAGAAUGUUUGACCAAGGAAAAUCAUAUGUUAGGCACUGACCUAUUCAACAACAAGAAACAGAACGUCUUCAGCUAGACUACACUUAUGUUGGGAGGGGGAGGUCAAGUGAUGAUCUCACUGCAUAUGGACUCAUAUCUGAAUUUUUGAGGUGGUUUCCAGUUUUAGUGAGUUUAUCUUUACUGAUGAGUAUCAUCUUGUUCAGGUUUGUCUACUGUUUUUGCCUUUUUGCGUUGUAGUUUCUAGUUUCACAUUUAGAUGAUUUAAUCGGCUUUUUUGGAACUCCAACUGUGCUUAGGAGGUUGAUUACCAACCUUAAAAUAGUCAUAUCAUGAUGAAUCCUCAUAGUAAUUGUUGAGAUGAUGUCCUAAUGAAAUUGUCCCAACAAGAGUGAAAUACACCUGACUUUUAAAUGUGGUUUCGAACGAUGAUUGGAUGGGGAACUUUAGGAGUGAACUGUGCUUUAGGUGCUAUCGUGGACUCUUAGCUGCUGACAUUAAGAAGGGAAGUAAACUCACUAUGUUCUGUUAAAGGUCAACUUACAGUUCACCGAAAAUGCACUUUGAGUUGUUGUUGAGACCAAAAGCACUGGUGCACGAGGCUCAAGAUCUAUAUUAGAAAGUAUUGUGACUGAAGCCAUGUUUGAGGGAUUGAAUGGCACCACAACUUUUUGUGUUUGGCGUUAAUUCUGGAAGAGCUUGGAAAAAUAUUUCACCCAUUUUACUCUUAUCACAUUGAGGCUACUAAAGGGAGGAGAUAUGUCACCAUUUAUUUGAGAGUUUGAACUACCUGCAUUUCAAUGUUACUUUCAAAAUUUUACUUGAGCACCCCAUGAGUGUUGAUAUAGCCAUCUUUUGAAGAACUUAGCCUAAAAUGAAACUAAACAUGACUUUUACCUGCCUUUCGAAAUGUGCCUAAAUAUUGAUUUCAAAGGCUCGUAUUCAUUGUCAAGCAUGGUUUCUCUUUUGUGAUUUGGUUCACUUUUGCACUAUCAGCAGCAUAGUUACUCAAUUAUAAACUUUUGGUGUUCACGUUUGUUUGCAGGAUGCUGACUUAAAUGUAGAAGCAACUCAGCAAGGGGUUGUCUACAUAGAUGAAGUUGAUAAAUAGCCAAAAAGUUCAAAAACUAUUAUCUACAUGGAUAUGGAUAAUCGACUUUGAAUUCAUCCUUAUAAUUAGUCACCUGUUUAGGCUGAGAGCCUUAACAUUUGCAGAGAUGUAUCUGAGGAGGAUGUUCAACAGGCGCUGCUGAAGAUGCUUGAAGGAACUAUUGUAAGUGUACCUGACAAUAGAGCAUAGAAGAUUCCACGUGGCGAUACUAUUCAGAAAACAGUUCCUACGAGAGAAGAAUGUUUGGCCAAGGAAAAUCAGAUGUCAGACACAGACACUGACCUAUUCAACAAAGAAGAAACAACACUUCUUCAGCUAAACUAUAUGUUGGGAGUGGGAAGUCAAGUCAAAUACUGGUUUAUAUUCGUUGUAACAAUUAUCUACCAAGGCUGUGAAGUUGUACUCGUGCUGUUCCUGUCUUGGGACUAGGAGCUUCUUAUUGACCCUACUAAAGUGGUUGUAGUCUUUUUCAUAUUAUAGAGCUUGUUGCAUAAUCAACAUCGGCCUGCGAAAUAUUUCAUUUUCCUUCUUAAAUGGUUUAACCUUUUCCCAUUUGUUGUUU